CGGGCUGUGGCGCAGGCUGGUAGCGCACCGCGUUUGGGACGCGGGGGUCGUGGGUUCGAGUCCCACCAGCCCGA
rnacentral:tRNA from 1 species